GACGAACGCUGGCGGCGUGCCUAAUACAUGCAAGUAGAACGCUGAAGAGAGGAGCUUGCUCUUCUUGGAUGAGUUGCGAACGGGUGAGUAACGCGUAGGUAACCUGCCUUGUAGCGGGGGAUAACUAUUGGAAACGAUAGCUAAUACCGCAUAACAAUGGAUGACCCAUGUCAUUUAUUUGAAAGGGGCAAAUGCUCCACUACAAGAUGGACCUGCGUUGUAUUAGCUAGUAGGUGAGGUAACGGCUCACCUAGGCGACGAUACAUAGCCGACCUGAGAGGGUGAUCGGCCACACUGGGACUGAGACACGGCCCAGACUCCUACGGGAGGCAGCAGUAGGGAAUCUUCGGCAAUGGGGGCAACCCUGACCGAGCAACGCCGCGUGAGUGAAGAAGGUUUUCGGAUCGUAAAGCUCUGUUGUAAGUCAAGAACGAGUGUGAGAGUGGAAAGUUCACACUGUGACGGUAGCCUACCAGAAAGGGACGGCUAACUACGUG
rnacentral:rRNA from 1 species